rnacentral:rRNA from 1 species
UACGUAGGGGGCAAGCGUUAUCCGGAAUUAUUGGGCGUAAAGAGUACGUAGGUGGCAACCUAAGCGCAGGGUUUAAGGCAAUGGCUCAACCAUUGUUCGCCCUGCGAACUGGGAUGCUUGAGUGCAGGAGAGGAAAGCGGAAUUCCUAGUGUAGCGGUGAAAUGCGUAGAUAUUAGGAGGAACACCAGUGGCGAAGGCGGCUUUCUGGACUGUAACUGACACUGAGGUACGAGAGCGUGGGGAGCAAACAGG